rnacentral:rRNA from 1 species
CGAACGAAGCACUGAAAGCAGAUUACUUCGGUUUGAAGCUUUCUUUGACUGAGUGGCGGACGGGUGAGUAACGCGUGGGUAACCUGCCUCAUACAGGGGGAUAACAGUUAGAAAUGACUGCUAAUACCGCAUAAGCGCACGGGACUGCAUGGUCUUGUGUGAAAAACUCCGGUGGUAUGAGAUGGACCCGCGUCUGAUUAGCUUGUUGGUGAGGUAACGGCCCACCAAGGCGACGAUCAGUAGCCGGCCUGAGAGGGUGAACGGCCACAUUGGGACUGAGACACGGCCCAAACUCCUACGGGAGGCAGCAGUGGGGAAUAUUGCACAAUGGGGGAAACCCUGAUGCAGCGACGCCGCGUGAAGGAAGAAGUAUUUCGGUAUGUAAACUUCUAUCAGCAGGGAAGAAAAUGACGGUACCUGACUAAGAAGCCCCGGCUAACUACGUGCCAGCAGCCGCGGUAAUACGUAGGGGGCAAGCGUUAUCCGGAUUUACUGGGUGUAAAGGGAGCGUAGGCGGCGAUGCAAGUCAGAAGUGAAAGCCCGGGGCUCAACUCCGGGACUGCUUUUGAAACUGUGUUGCUAGAUUGCAGGAGAGGUAAGUGGAAUUCCUAGUGUAGCGGUGAAAUGCGUAGAUAUUAGGAGGAACACCAGUGGCGAAGGCGGCUUACUGGACUGUAAAUGACGCUGAGGCUCGAAAGCGUGGGGAGCAA